rnacentral:rRNA from 1 species
GAUGAACGCUGGCGGCGUGCCUAAUACAUGCAAGUCGAGCGAACAGAUGAGGAGCUUGCUCCUCUGACGUUAGCGGCGGACGUGUGAGUAACACGUGUAUAACCUACCUAUAAGACUGGGAUAACUUCGGGAAACCGGCGCUAAUACCGGAUAAGAUAUUGAACCGCAUGGUUCAAUAGUGAAAGACGGCUUUGCUGUCACUUAUAGAUGGAUCCGCGCCGCAUUAGCUAGUUGGUAAGGUAACGGCUUACCAAGGCAACGAUGCGUAGCCGACCUGAGAGGGUGGUCGGCCACACUGGAGCUGAGACACGGUCCAGACGCCUACGGGAGGCAGCAGUAGGGAAUCUUCCGCAAUGGGCGAAAGCCUGACGGAGCAACGCCGCGUGAGUGAUGAAGGUCUUCGGAUCGUAAAACUCUGUUAUUAGGGAAGAACAAAUGUGUAAGUAACUAUGCACGUCUUGACGGUACCUAAUCAGAAAGCAACGGCUAACUACGUG